GGCAAAACUGGGUCCAUGCCAGUGUUCCUUGCAUCUCCCACUUUGCACGAGUUCAACGUAUAUGUGGUGGUUAACAGAGCGUUCUUUAGCUCUAGUUGGUCUUUUUGUUGUAGAAAUUAAUCUCGUGUUUUCUCUAAUGCCAAAAUAAGAGCUUCAUCCACACAUUGUGUAGCCUCUUCUUAGAAAUCUAUUGCGCUUCCCCGCUGCUUUUCGUAGAUAGUCCUCAUGGGAGCGGCACGUGGGUCAUUCUUGGGCUCAGGAGUGGGAACCAGUGUGUCGAGUGUGCGGGCUUGCUAUAGGCGAGCCCACAACGGUUUGGUGCAACGUGGCCCAUCCUGUUCUGCUGAAUCGGCAACGGGACCUGUCCUGGAUGGUCGCCCACGAGAUCCUCCCGGUCAGGGCCGUUAUGCACUCCCGGGGCAUGGCGAGGACAUCCGCGUGCCCCCGACCACGUUACGGCCAAGAUGAGUUGGUGAGGCACUUGCUCUGGGAGUGCAGAGCCGCCAGGGACCUGUGGAAGGAAUCAGGCCCCCUGAUCUCCCCGUGUCUGCCAGCAGGGGAGGACCUAAUGCCCCAGCUCGUGCUGUAUGGGGUGGGCCGAAAGGCCUAUUCCACCGAAGGCCUUCACCCAAGCUCUGGCCCACACUCACAUGUCUGAAGGAUGCACUGCGGUCCUCCCGCAACCUGCUGGUAGACCACCCCCAGGCAGUGGCCAUGGUAGCCACGGAAGCCCUGUUGUGGUACAGAAGAAAUGGGGCCUCGACCCCAGAUGAAGGGUCCCCCACAACACCCAAGGUCCCGGCGGCCACGGCACCAAGGGCGAUGCCCCUAGGGGAGGCAUCUGCUCUGGGCCCCGAAGGACAGGACGGUAAUUGAUUCAGAAGAGCAGGAGGAGGCGAGUUUGAUAAGGACUCACCCUGUUCCUGUACAAAGGACGGAAGACAGCUUUUUAACAUGUUUUCCAUAUCUUAAAAAUAUUUUACCUUUGUUAAAUAAUUUGUGCACAUUUUAAAUGGCUUUUACAAGAAAAUGUACUUUUAUUGAUGG
ensembl:lncRNA